UACGUAGGGUGCGAGCGUUAAUCGGAAUUACUGGGCGUAAAGCGUGCGCAGGCGGUUUUGUAAGCCAGAUGUGAAAUCCCCGGGCUUAACCUGGGAAUGGCAUUUGGGACUGCAAGGCUUGAGUGCGGCAGAGGAGACUGGAAUUCCUGGUGUAGCAGUGAAAUGCGUAGAUAUCAGGAGGAACACCGAUGGCGAAGGCAGGUCUCUGGGCCGAUACUGACGCUGAGGAGCGAAAGCGUGGGGAGCGAACAGG
rnacentral:rRNA from 1 species